CUUUCUUCCUCGUUAUAUCUUCUUUCUUCUUCUCUCUUCUUUCUUCCCCUGUUCUUCUUUUUCUGCGAUUAUUUGAGAGAAUCAUAUGUUGAAGCUAUCUAAUAGAUGAUGAAGGUGGUGCGACUGUAAUCUAUGGAAAAGAUCAAUUGAAGAUACAUUUAUUUUCGAGAUAAACUGAGAAGAACGAGAUUAGGGUUUGAUGUUCCUUGGAGAUUAAGUGAGGUUGAUGACAGAAUCGAUCGACUGGUGAUGGGUUUUGUUUAUUUAAGACAUGGGAUAAGAAUUAGUUGUUGAUUCAGUCAAUUAUGCAAACUCAGGAAAAAGAAAUAAAAUGUAAAUUAGAGUUUUGAGAUUGAUGUCAUAGGAUGCUGAUAUGAGAUGGGUUUUAUGCGAAUUAUAGUAUUGAGUGAAGCAGGGUUGUGCUAGCAGUGAAUAUUAAUUCAAUUGAAGAAUUAGGGUUUCUAAAGUGGGUGAAUAGAAAAAUCAAAGAACCGAUGAUGGGUAAGCUUAGUUGGAGGUUAUGGUGAAUUUGAGAUGAAGAAGAACAAGAAUUGAAAGAUGAUACUGGGAGUUAAGGUUAGGGUUUCAUAAGAAGGAACUCAGUGAAGCAAUUCAGAGGAUGUACAGCCUAAGUAAGUUGCUAAAUUGCUUUAAUUGUGAUAUUAUAAGAAUAAUUGGUUAAAUUGUUGAGUUAAUAUGUUGUAGAAUGAAAUUGAGCUUUAGAUGAAGGGUAUAUGUGUUGUUGUGAGAUUGAAUGUGACUCUGAAAUGAAGUAUGGGGAUAUCGAUGUUGUUUUGUGGCUGUUGUGAUGUUAUUGUAUGCAGGGAUGACAUUGGAGGUAUGCUGGAGUGGUAAUGACAGUCUAAAGGGGGGUAGUAGCUAGAUAUGAUGUUGUUUGUGUAUCUGUGGCUACUUAUGUUGAGAGUUGAGUUAUUUGUGAGUUGUAUUAGUUCUGAUUGAAUUAAGAGAUGGCCUAGUGGUGUUGGUGGUAUGAACUAAGAGGUGCAGGGAUUGUUGAAGUUGUAACUGAGAUUAAUGGAUCGGGUAUGAUCACAACUGAAAUUCAAGAAAAGAAAUGAAGUAAAGCUUUAGAUGAAUGUUAUGAGAUUUCAGGUAUUCAGAAUUGUUGGUGUUAUCGAAAUGGUAGCUCUGAGUUGGUUAAAAUGGAUGUGGUAAUUGUUUGAAUGUGCAGAAGUGGUAAUGUUGUUAGUAUUCCUAUUGACAGAGAUUGCAGGGGAUGUAAAUAUUAACUGAGUUUGUGUUGAGCAGAGUUGGUGCUGUAGAUUAGUAGUGAUGACUUGGAAAGGUUAAUGAAUGUGGAUGACUGUUAGUUUGUGAACAAUAGAGAUUAGGUAAAGUGAUGUUAUUUUAAUGAUGCUGGUGGUGCUGUGAUAGAGAUGCAGGUGAAUUGGGGUGUGAGAAGACAAUGACAAUAUAGUAGAGAGUGUGGAUGUAGUUGUUAUUGCAGAAUUGGUGUUGGAGGUGGAACUAUUAGCGGCACUGUGAUUGUAAGUUGUGGUGGUAAGUAUGAAUGUAAGAACUGUUGUUUGUGUGUAUUGAGAAGAAUUAGAGGAGCAAGGAUGUUUUAAUGUUGGUGGUGAUGCAAAUGAGAUGUAUGAGCUGUAUAGGUUAGUUCUGGCAGUGAUGUUUGAUAGAAGUAAUAGUGUUGAAUAGAGUUCAGCUGAAGUAGUCUACAAAGUGGCUGCAACUGUUGAAUUGUGUGUAGGAAGAGUAUGGCUUAGCACUGUAUUUGCAGUGGAUCGUGGAUCUCGAGGUAGGCGUGGCUUGUCAUCAAAAGAGAGACAGAUCAGAGUUG